rnacentral:rRNA from 1 species
UACAGAGGAUGCAAGCGUUAUCCGGAAUUAUUGGGCGUAAAGCGUCUGUAGGUGGCUUUUUAAGUCCGCCGUCAAAUCCCAGGGCUCAACUCUGGACAGGCGGUGGAAACUACCAAGCUGGAGUACGGUAGGGGCAGAGGGAAUUUCCGGUGUAGCGGUGAAAUGCGUAGAUAUCGGAAGGAACACCAGUGGCGAAAGCGGCUUCCUGGUCCAGCACUGACGUUCAGGCACGAAAGCGUGGGGAGCAAACAGG